rnacentral:tRNA from 1 species
CAUUAAGUGGCUGAAGUAUAUUAAGCAUUGGUCUCUUAAACCAAAACAUGGUAAUUUUACCCUUAAUGA